GGCUCAGGACGAACGCUGGCGGCGUGCCUAAUACAUGCAAGUCGAGCGGACUUGAUGGAGUGCUUGCACUCCUGAGAGUUAGCGGCGGACGGGUGAGUAACACGUAGGCAACCUGCCCUCAAGACUGGGAUAACUACCGGAAACGGUAGCUAAUACCGGAUAAUUUAUUUCACAGCAUUGUGGAAUAAUGAAAGACGGAGCAAUCUGUCACUUGGGGAUGGGCCUGCGGCGCAUUAGCUAGUUGGUGGGGUAAUGGCUCACCAAGGCGACGAUGCGUAGCCGACCUGAGAGGGUGAUCGGCCACACUGGGACUGAGACACGGCCCAGACUCCUACGGGAGGCAGCAGUAGGGAAUCUUCCGCAAUGGGCGAAAGCCUGACGGAGCAACGCCGCGUGAGUGAUGAAGGUUUUCGGAUCGUAAAGCUCUG
rnacentral:rRNA from 1 species